UACGUAGGUGGCGAGCGUUGUCCGGAUUUACUGGGCGUAAAGAGCGCGCAGGCGGUCAAGUAAGUCGAAUGUGAAAGCCCCCGGCUCAACUGGGGAGGGUCAUUCGAUACUGCUCGACUCGAAGGCAGGAGAGGGAAGUGGAAUUCCCGGUGUAGUGGUGAAAUGCGUAGAUAUCGGGAGGAACACCAGUGGCGAAGGCGACUUCCUGGCCUGUUCUUGACGCUGAGGCGCGAAAGCUAGGGGAGCAAACGGG
rnacentral:rRNA from 1 species